UACGUAGGGACCAAGCGUUGUUCGGAUUUACUGGGCGUAAAGGGCGCGUAGGCGGCAAUUCAAGUCAUCUGUGAAAUCUCCGGGCUUAACCCGGAACGGUCAGAUGAUACUGCUUUGCUAGAGUGCGGGAAGGGGCAAUCGGAAUUCUUGGUGUAGCGGUGAAAUGCGUAGAUAUCAAGAGGAACACCUGAGGUGAAGACGGGUUGCUGGGCCGACACUGACGCUGACAGCGCGAAAGCCAGGGGAGCAAACGGG
rnacentral:rRNA from 1 species